UACGUACCGUCCAAACGUUAUUCGGAAUUACUGGGCUUAAAGGGUACGUAGGCGGCGCUGUCAGUCGGGUGUGAAAUCCCUCGGCUCAACCGAGGAAUUGCGCCCGAUACUGCAGUGCUUGAGGGAGACAGAGGUAAGCGGAACUGAUGGUGGAGCGGUGAAAUGCGUUGAUAUCAUCAGGAACACCAGUGGCGAAAGCGGCUUACUGGGUCUCUUCUGACGCUGAGGUACGAAAGCUAGGGGAGCGAAGGGG
rnacentral:rRNA from 1 species